GGAAGGUCAACCCGAAAGCCGGCGACGGGAGUGGUCUUGAAAGCCAUCGAGCGUAAAAGCCUUGUCAGUUCGACCCUGACACCUUCCGCCA
rnacentral:tRNA from 1 species